UACGUAGGGUGCAAGCGUUAAUCGGAAUUACUGGGCGUAAAGCGUGCGCAGGCGGUUUUGUAAGUUUGUCGUGAAAUCCCCGGGCUCAACCUGGGAAUUGCGAUGGAGACUGCAAGGCUAGAAUCUGGCAGAGGGGGGUAGAAUUCCACGUGUAGCAGUGAAAUGCGUAGAGAUGUGGGAGGAAUACCGAUGGCGAAGGCAGCCCCCUGGGAUAACACUGACGCUGCAUGCACGAAAGCGUGGGGAGCAAACAGG
rnacentral:rRNA from 1 species